rnacentral:hammerhead_ribozyme from 1 species
AUCCAGCUGACGAAUCCCGAACAGGACGAAACGCGUGUCCUGGAU